rnacentral:rRNA from 1 species
CUUGGUGGUUAGAGCGCAGCGGUCCCACCCGUUCUCAUCCCGAACACGGAAGUGAAACGCUGCAGCGCCGACGAUACUCCCCGGGCAACUGGGCGUGGAAAAUAGGCCACCGCCAGGG